GACGAACGCUGGCGGCGUGCCUAAUACAUGCAAGUAGAACGCUGAAGGAGGAGCUUGCUUCUCUGGAUGAGUUGCGAACGGGUGAGUAACGCGUAGGUAACCUGCCUGGUAGCGGGGGAUAACUAUUGGAAACGAUAGCUAAUACCGCAUAAUAGCAGUUAUUGCAUGAUAACUGUUUGAAAGGUGCAAUUGCACCACUACCAGAUGGGCCUGCGUUGUAUUAGCUAGUUGGUGGGGUAACGGCUCACCAAGGCGACGAUACAUAGCCGACCUGAGAGGGUGAUCGGCCACACUGGGACUGAGACACGGCCCAGACUCCUACGGGAGGCAGCAGUAGGGAAUCUUCGGCAAUGGACGGAAGUCUGACCGAGCAACGCCGCGUGAAUGAAGAAGGUUUUCGGAUCGUAAAGCUCUGUUGUAAGAGAAGAACGAGUGUGAGAGUGGAAAGUUCACACUGUGACGGUAUCUUACCAGAAAGGGACGGCUAACUACGUG
rnacentral:rRNA from 1 species